rnacentral:rRNA from 1 species
UGGGGAAUAUUGGGCAAUGGACGCAACUCUGACCCAGCGACGCCGCGUGAGGGAUGAAGGCCUUCGGGUUGUAAACCUCUUUCAGCAGGGAAUAAGCGAAAGUGANGGUACCUGCAAAAGAAGCACCGGCUAACUAUGUG